rnacentral:rRNA from 1 species
CAAAAUAUGGGUGAAAGCCUGACGGAACAAUGCCACGUAGAGGUAGAAGGCCCACGGGUCGUGAACUUCUUUUCCCAAAGAAGAAGCAAUGACGGUAUCUGGGGAAUAAGCAUCGGCUAACUCUAUGCCAGCAGUCGCGAUAAGACAGAGGAUGCAAGCGUUAUCCGAAAUGAUUGGGCAUAAAGCAUCUGUAGUUGGCUUUUUAAGUUCGUCAUCAAAUCCCAGGGCUCAACCCUGGAUAGGGGCUGAAAACUACCAAGCUGGAGUACGGUAGGGGCAGAGGAAAUUUUCAGUGGAGCGGCGAAAUGCAUAGAGAUCAGAAAGAACACCAACGAUGAAAGCACUCUACUGGGCCGACACUGACACUGAGAGACGAAAGCUCGGGGCAAGUGGAUCAUUU